AGGACGAACGCUGGCGGCGUGCUUAACACAUGCAAGUCAAGGGGGCCCAGCAAUGGGCAACCGGCGAACGGGUGCGUAACACGUGAGCAACCUACCGAAAUGUGGGGGAUAGCCGGCCUAACGGCCGAGUAAUACCGCAUACGCUCUCGAUGAGGCAUUUCAUUGAGAGGAAACCUACGGGACAUUUCGGAGGGCUCGCGGCCUAUCAGCUAGUUGGCGAGGUAACGCUCACCAAGGCAACGACGGGUA
rnacentral:rRNA from 1 species